rnacentral:tRNA from 1 species
GCCUUCGUGGUGUAGUGGUCAGCACGGUGGGCAUGUAUUCCACAGGUCUGUGGUUCGAAUCCUGGCGAGGGCA